rnacentral:rRNA from 1 species
GACGAACGCUGGCGGCGUGCUUAACACAUGCAAGUCGAACGGAAAGGCCCUGCUUUUGUGGGGUGCUCGAGUGGCGAACGGGUGAGUAACACGUGAGUAACCUGCCCUUGACUUUGGGAUAACUUCAGGAAACUGGGGCUAAUACCGGAUAGGAGCUCCUGCUGCAUGGUGGGGGUUGGAAAGUUUCGGCGGUUGGGGAUGGACUCGCGGCUUAUCAGCUUGUUGGUGGGGUAGUGGCUUACCAAGGCUUUGACGGGUAGCCGGCCUGAGAGGGUGACCGGACACAUUGGGACUGAGAUACGGCCCAGACUCCUACGGGAGGCAGAAGUGGGGAAUAUUGCAAAAUGGGCGGAAGCCUGAUGCAGCAACGCCGCGUGCGGGAUGACGGCCUUCGGGUUGUAAACCGCUUUCGCCUGUGACGAAGCGUGAGUGACGGUAAUGUGUAAAGAAGCACCGGCUAACUACGUG